rnacentral:rRNA from 1 species
AUGUUUGAUGUUCUAACGUGGACCCGUAAUCCGGGUUGCGGACAGUGUCUGGUGGGUAGUUUGACUGGGGCGGUCUCCUCCUAAAGAGUAACGGAGGAGCACGAAGGUUGGCUAAUCCUGGUCGGACAUCAGGAGGUUAGUGCAAUGGCAUAAGCCAGCUUGACUGCGAGCGUGACGGCGCGAGCAGGUGCGAAAGCAGGUCAUAGUGAUCCGGUGGUUCUGAAUGGAAGGGCCAUCGCUCAACGGAUAAAAGGUACUCCGGGGAUAACAGGCUGAUACCGCCCAAGAGUUCAUAUCGACGGCGGUGUUUGGCACCUCGAUGUCGGCUCAUCACAUCCUGGGGCUGAAGUAGGUCCCAAGGGUAUGGCUGUUCGCCAUUUAAAGUGGUACGCGAGCUGGGUUUAGAACGUCGUGAGACAGUUCGGUCCCUAUCUGCCGUG